rnacentral:rRNA from 1 species
UACGAUACGAGUUUGAUCCUGGCUCAGAAUCAACGCUGGCGGCGUGCCUCAGACAUGCAAGUCGAACGAUUAAAGCUCUCUUCGGAGAGUGUAUAGAGUGGCGCACGGGUGAGUAACACGUAAGUAAUCUACCCUCGAGUGGGGAAUAACAACCGGAAACGGUUGCUAAUACCGCAUAAUGCAGCGGCACCGCAAGGUGACAGUUGUUAAAGAUUUAUCGCUUGAGGAGGAGCUUGCGGCAGAUUAGCUAGUUGGUAGGGUAACGGCUUACCAAGGCUACGAUCUGUAACCGGUCUAAGAGGACGGUCGGUCACACUGACACUGAAUAACGGGUCAGACUCCUACGGGAGGCAGCAGUCGGGAAUUUUGGGCAAUGGGCGAAAGCCUGACCCAGCAACGCCGCGUGAAGGAUGAAGUAUUUCGGUAUGUAAACUUCGAAAGAAUAGGAAGAAUUAAUGACGGUACUAUUUAUAAGGUCCGGCUAACUACGUG